rnacentral:rRNA from 1 species
GGGAAUCUGCCCCUUGGUUCGGAAUAACAGUUAGAAAUGACUGCUAAUACCGGAUAACGACGUAAGUCCAAAGAUUUAUCGCCGAGGGAUGAGCCCGCGUAGGAUUAGCUAGUUGGUGUGGUAAAAGCGCACCAAGGCGACGAUCCUUAGCUGGUCUGAGAGGAUGAUCAGCCACACUGGGACUGAGACACGGCCCAGACUCCUACGGGAGGCAGCAGUGGGGAAUAUUGGACAAUGGGCGAAAGCCUGAUCCAGCAAUGCCGCGUGAGUGAUGAAGGCCUUAGGGUUGUAAAGCUCUUUUACCCGGGAUGAUAAUGACAGUACCGGGAGAAUAAGCCCCGGCUAACUCCGUGCCAGCAGCCGCGGUAAUACGGAGGGGGCUAGCGUUAUUCGGAAUUACUGGGCGUAAAGCGCACGUAGGCGGCUUUGUAAGUUAGAGGUGAAAGCCUGGAGCUCAACUCCAGAAUUGCCUUUAAGACUGCAUCGCUUGAAUCCAGGAGAGGUGAGUGGAAUUCCGAGU